rnacentral:lncRNA from 1 species
AUGUCGGGUGAAAAGCCAAAGGUCUACGAAGGUGUUCGGGUGAAGAUCACGGUAAAGGAAUUGCUGGAAAAGCGCAGAGCUCGUCAAAUGAAAUUGUCAUCGGAAUGUGCAAACUCUUGGUAUCAAGAUGCUGUUGCCACACCUUCCUUAAGUCUGGUGCCAGAGCCAAGUGCACAACCCUGGCCCUGUGAGGACAACCCCAGUGACUAUGGGACAGAGUGUCUCUCAUUAUACAGUGAUAACUUCAGCUCGGCUCAACAGACUGAACCUGCAGCAUACAGUGAACCCUGCAACUACACUCAUCAACAGCCCUGGUCCCUUGGACAUAUAUUGCACAAGGACUAUAAGGAAGGACAGGCCUCCUGCUCCUCAUUAGAGACUUGGACUCCGGCCUGCACACCAGAGAAAAUUAAUCCUUUGGACACCCAUCAUCUCCCCUCCUCACUACAAGAAUACUCAGACCCUGUGGAUCCCACUUACAUAUCGCUUAAUACAAAUAUCACUCAAUAUGAUACCUCUGUGUACUCAAACCCUACUGAAUCGAGCUCUACAAUACAGUGGAUGCCCUGACCUAAGUAGCACAGGUUAUUAUGGGUCAACUUUGGACAACUGUUAUUAUAAAUGGCAAAUGUCAAGCAUGAGUCAUGUUUUAAAUACAGAGUUUCUGGAGGGUGGCGGGGAGAUGGUGGCUGGCUGGGCGCACUCUGUUCUGUGCCCCAUCUGGAGACCAACCUGAGGUUUAGGGCUGGCAGGGUCUACCAGCUGUGUGUGUGAGUGUAUGAGAGAGAGAAAGUGAGAUAAGGAACUUUUUUUUAUAGAUUGCCAUAAUUAUUUUUCAAGUCAAUAAAAUGAAACUGAAAAAGGUUGUCGUUUUUGAUCAUCCAGAGCUGUAGUUUAUCCAAAUAUGGUUUAGUGUGGUUUAGAAACUCGUUUAUCUAUCUUUUUCCACAUCCAUCUAUUCAUUAUAUUUCUAUGGCCCAACUCCACCG